AGUGAGCAUAAUAGACGGACUGGACUCUCUCUCGUCUGGAAUGUAAUCAUCCAAAACAAUAAGAGUGCUUGCUGCCAGAACAACAAGGACAAAAAAAAAAAAGAACAAACAGUCCAAAGCAAGCAUUACUUUUGUGUUUUUUUUUGCAAAAGCCGCCUCAUUUGCAAAAAGCACUGCUCGUGUGCCUGAUGUUUCCUUUUUGAUUGUACCUGUGACAAAGACAUUUGAGUAAUGACCAUGUUAAAUUUAGCAUAGACGAAAGUAUGCCAUUUUCCAGUUGACAAAACGGAAUGCACAGACUAUGAAAAGAAAACUGGUUUGGGGUUGUGGAGCUGGCAUGUGCAAGCUCAAACAAGAACUUCUGCACACACCUCUGGGAAAAGUCACUUUUUUGCAGGUGAGUGUGAAUCUUUUUUUCCUUUUUUUGAUGUUUAAAGUCUGUGUUUUUAGACCGCCUUCAUACGGGAGUGUGAGUGUACCCUCACGUCUGAAAAAGCCCUGAUUCACAGAGUCUUUGAGCAACACUUGGCGGUGUAACACGAGGACCAGGUAAGGCGGUGAUUGUAUCACAGAAUGGGAUAGAGCAAAGAAAGCAAACCUAAAGGUUAGCAGGUGAGCAGGAAGCUAGUCUGCUCAAACAGCACUUUAGUGAACAAACAUGUAUGCCUGGGGCGGAGGAGCGAGUCAUUUCACUGGUUCGCAUCAACCUAGAAAAUGUUGUGCAAAAGUCAAAUGCAUGAAGAAGAGGCCAAACCUUGCAGCUGUAGCAAAAGAAGAAAACUACAGGGUCGCGAGGGCUUCUUACCAUGACUGUUUCCUUGUGUCGGAGUCGGUCUUCCUGACUUGUGUCGUCCCUUGUUCCCACUGUGAUGUGAAGCCACGUGUCCAUCCAAAGCCAAGUCCAACGCGGGGCCGAGACCUGGGUUCUGUCCAUUAGAGCCGAGAUCCUUCCUUUUUUUGCCCUUCAGCCAGCCCAAGGCCCGGCCCAGGGAGUGACUGCGCUUUUUCCUCCCCUUUUUAUGAUGCUUCUCUUGGGCGAAGAUCUCAACCACAUCGUGGGGAAUCAGCUCCCCAAAGCCCAGCGAGUCGCGGUUGGACAUCCCACCACUUGCUGGAUUUGAGCCCUGGAACGGACACACACACAAAAAUAAUAGGUUUGUUAACAAUGCUCGUGUUAUUCCUCAGUGUCUGGUUGGUAGGUUUUAAAGAUUCACUGGAUACGCGACAAAAGUAGAGUGACAUUGACGGAUUAUCAGCGAUAAACAAGUUUGAAACCUCA